rnacentral:rRNA from 1 species
UUUAAUUUAAAUUAUUUCUGAGUAGUACAAGUUAUAAUCUUUAAACUCAAAAGAUUUGGCGGUAUUUUAUCUUAUUAGAGGAACUUGUUUGUUAAUUGAUAAUCCACAACUAUUAUUUACUUUAAUUAAAAAUAUUUGUAUACCGCUGUCAUGAAUAUAUUAAAAAAUUAAUUUUCUAUUAUUUGUUUGUCAAAUGAAUUUAUGUUAGGUCAAGGUGCAGUUUGUUAAAGAAUUAAUGAGUUACUUUAAAUAAUAUGAAUGGAAAUUUAAAAUUUAGUUUAAAUUAAAAAGGGAUUUGAAAGUAAACAUAUUUAUAAUAAUAAAAUGAAUUUAGAUUCUAAAAUAUGU